UACGUAGGUGGCAAGCGUUGUCCGGAAUUACUGGGCGUAAAGCGUGCGCAGGCGGUUUUGUAAGCCAGAUGUGAAAUCCCCGGGCUUAACCUGGGAAUGGCAUUUGGGACUGCAAGGCUGGAGUGCGGCAGAGGAGACUGGAAUUCCUGGUGUAGCAGUGAAAUGCGUAGAUAUCGGGAGGAAUACCGAUGGCGAAGGCAGGUCUCUGGGCUGACACUGACGCUCAUGCACGAAAGCGUGGGGAGCAAACAGG
rnacentral:rRNA from 1 species